AAUCGAAGCAGUGAACUUAAGCCCCAGUAAACGGCGGCCGUAACUAUAACGGUCCUAAGGUAGCGAAAUUCCUUGUCGGGUAAGUUCCGACCCGCACGAAAGGCGUAACGAUUUGGGCACUGUCUCAACAACAGACUCGGUGAAAUUGUAAUUCCGGUGAAGAUGCCGGAUACCUGCGACAGGACGGAAAGACCCCAUGGAGCUUUACUGUAGCUUGACAUUGGGUCUUGGUACUACAUGUACAGGAUAGGUGGGAGGCUUUGAAACCAGGACGCCAGUUUUGGCGGAGCCAUCCUUGGGAUACCACCCUUGUAGUACUGGGACUCUAACCAUAGGCCAUGAAUCUGGUCUUGGGACACUGUCAGGUGGGCAGUUUGACUGGGGCGGUCGCCUCCCAAAGGGUAACGGAGGCGCUCAAAGGUUCUCUCAGUACGGUCGGAAAUCGUACGUAGAGUGUAAAGGCAAAAGAGAGCUUGAUUGCAAGACAUACAGGUCGAGCAAGGAUGAAAAUCGGACUUAGUGAUCCGGUGGUUCUGCGUGGAAGGGCCAUCGCUCAACGGAUAAAAGCUACCCUGGGGAUAACAGGCUUAUCUCCCCCAAGAGUCCACAUCGACGGGGAGGUUUGGCACCUCGAUGUCGGC
rnacentral:rRNA from 1 species